UACGGAGAGGGCUAGCGUUAUUCGGAAUCAUUGGGCGUAAAGGGCGCGUAGGCGGGUUAGUAAGUUAAAAAGUGAAAAUCCCAAGGCUCAACCUUGGAACUGCUUUUAAAACUGCUAGUCUAGAGAUUGAAAGAGGAUAGAGGAAUUCCUAGUGUAGAGGUGAAAUUCGUAAAUAUUAGGAGGAACACCAGUGGCGAAGGCGUCUAUCUGGUUCAAAUCUGACGCUGAGGCGCGAAAGGCGUGGGGGAGCAAACAG
rnacentral:rRNA from 1 species